UACAGAGGGUGCGAGCGUUAAUCGGAAUUACUGGGCGUAAAGCGUGCGUAGACGGUUAUUUAAGUCGGGUGUGAAAGCCCCGGGCUCAACCUGGGAAUUGCAUUCGAGACUGAAUAGCUAGGGUGCGGUAGAGGGAAGCGGAAUUUCCGGUGUAGCGGUGAAAUGCGUAGAUAUCGUAAGGAAGACCAGUGGCGAAGGCGGGUCUCUGGACAGUUCCUGACGCUGAGGCACGAAGGUCAGGGGAGCAAACGGG
rnacentral:rRNA from 1 species